rnacentral:rRNA from 1 species
UGCAAGUCGCACGAGAAGGGACUUCGGUCCUGAGUACAGUGGCGCACGGGUGAGUAACACGUGAAUCAUCUACCUUCGAGUGGGGAAUAACUGAGAGAAAUCUUAGCUAAUACCGCAUAAUACCUACGGGUCAAAGCAGCAAUGCGCUUGAAGAGGAGUUCGCGGCAGAUUAGUUAGUUGGCGGGGUAAUGGCCCACCAAGACGAUGAUCUGUAUCCGGCCUGAGAGGGCGCACGGACACACUGGAACUGAAACACGGUCCAGACUCCUACGGGAGGCAGCAGUGGGGAAUUUUGCGCAAUGGGGGAAACCCUGACGCAGCAACGCCGCGUGGAGGAUGAAAUAUCUUGGUAUGUAAACUCCUUUCGAUGGGGAAGAUAAUGACGGUACCCAUAGAAGAAGCCCCGGCUAACUUCGUGCCAGCAGCCGCGGUAAUACGAGGGGGGCAAGCGUUGUUCGGAAUUAUUGGGCGUAAAGGGUGCGUAGGCGGUUUGACAAGUCUUAUGUGAAAUCUUCGGGCUCAACCCGAAGUCUGCAUGGGAAACUGUCGGGCUUGAGUAUGGGAGAGGUGAGUGGAAUUUCCGGUGUAGCGGUGAAAUGCGUAGAUAUCGGAAGGAACACCUGUGGCGAAAGCGGCUCACUGGACCAUAACUGACGCUGAUGCACGAAAGCUAGGGGAGCAAACAGGAUUAGAUACCCUGGUAGUCCUAGCCCUAAACGAUGAUUGUUUGAUGUGGGGGGUACCCAAUCCUCCCGUGUCGAAGCUAACGCGAUAAACAAUCCGCCUGGGGAGUACG